UCCAGACUCCUACGGGAGGCAGCAGUGGGGAAUAUUGGGCAAUGGGCGAAAGCCUGACCCAGCAACGCCGCGUGAAGGAAGAAGGCUUUCGGGUUGUAAACUUCUUUUAAGAGGGAAGAGUAGAAGACGGUACCUCUUGAAUAAGCCACGGCUAACUACGUGCCAGCAGCCGCGGUAAUACGUAGGUGGCAAGCGUUGUCCGGAUUUACUGGGUGUAAAGGGCGUGUAGCCGGGCCGGCAAGUCAGAUGUGAAAUCCCAAGGCUCAACCUUGGAACUGCAUUUGAAACGGUUGGUCUUGAGUAUCGGAGAGGCAGGCGGAAUUCCUAGGGUAGCGGUGAAAUGCGUAGAUAUUAGGAGGAACACCAGGGGGGAGGGCGGCCUGCUGGACGACAACUGACGGUGAGGCGCGAAAGCGUGGGGGGCACACAGGAUUAGAUACCCUGGUAC
rnacentral:rRNA from 1 species